rnacentral:rRNA from 1 species
UACGAAGGGGGCUAGCGUUGCUCGGAAUCACUGGGCGUAAAGGGCGCGUAGGCGGGUCUUUAAGUCAGGGGUGAAAUCCUGGAGCUCAACUCCAGAACUGCCUUUGAUACUGAGGAUCUUGAGUUCGGGAGAGGUGAGUGGAACUGCGAGUGUAGAGGUGAAAUUCGUAGAUAUUCGCAAGAACACCAGUGGCGAAGGCGGCUCACUGGCCCGAUACUGACGCUGAGGCACGAAAGCGUGGGGAGCAAACAGG